UACCAGCACCCCGAGUGGUCGGGACGAUUAUUGGGCCUAAAGCAUCCGUAGCCGGUUCUACAAGUCUUCCGUUAAAUCCACCUGCUUAACAGAUGGGCUGCGGAGGAUACUAUGGAGCUAGGAGGCGGGAGAGGCAAGCGGCACUUAGUGGGUAGGGGUAAAAUCCGUUGAUCCAUUGAAGACCACCAGUGGCGAAGGCGGCUUGCCAGAACGCACUCGACGGUGAGGGAUGAAAGCUGGGGGAGCAAACCGG
rnacentral:rRNA from 1 species